rnacentral:tRNA from 1 species
ACGAUCGUAGUACAGUGGCUAGCACAGCAGUGUUAUACCCUUGAGGUCUUGGGAUUGAAUCCCCACGAGUGCA